rnacentral:rRNA from 1 species
UACGAAGGGGGCUAGCGUUGUUCGGAAUUACUGGGCGUAAAGCGCGCGCAGGCGGUCUUCCAAGUCAGUGGUGAAAGCCCGGAGCUCAACUCCGGAACUGCCAUUGAAACUGUAAGACUUGAGGACGAGAGAGGUGAGUGGAAUUCCUGGUGUAGCGGUGAAAUGCGUUGAUAUCAGGAGGAACACCCAUGGCGAAGGCAGCAAACUGGGCAUCAUCUGACGCUGAGGCGCGAAAGCGUGGGUAGCAAACAGG